AUGGACAUGAGGACCCCUGCCCAGCUCUUGGGGCUCCUGCUGCUCUGGCUCCCAGGAGCCUGGUGUGACAUCCAGAUGACCCAGUCUCCCUCGUCACUCUCUGUGUCUCUAGGAGACACAGCCACCAUCACCUGCAGGGCCAGUGAGGACAUUGGGUACAUUUUAGCCUGGUACCAGCAGCAACCAGGGAAAGCUCCUAAACUCCUGAUCUAUGGUGCAGAUCAGUUGGAAUCAGGUGUCCCAUCCAGGUUCAGUGGCAGUGGAUAUGGGACUGAGUUCACUCUCACCAUCAGCAGCCUGCAGCCUGAAGAUCUUGCCACUUAUUACUGUCAACAAGCUUAUAAUGUUCCUCCCACAGUGAAACAAAUCAUAACAAAAACUCCCAGGGCAGCAGAAUUAAAUCUUUACAAGUCUGGUAUUGAAGGAAGACCUAUGGGAACCAAGAAGAUUGGAUCCAGUGCUGAUGUCAAGGUGACUCUGACUCCACUCUCCCUGCCUGUCUCCCUUGGAGAGCCGGCCUCCAUCUCCUGCAAGUCCAGUCAGAGCCUUCUGCCCCGCCAUGGCUGCAUCUAUUUAUACUGGUUCUUCUAUAAACCAGGGGAUGGCAAGGAAUUCCCUCAACAAGACGUAUCCAAGUCACAGGAAUCACACAAGCCAGACAGUGCCAUGGCCCCGAACGACAGCAUUUGA